CCAAAACUUAAGGUGGUGCCCUCCAAGAAAACCAAAGACAACAUUGCUUUUUAAACUGGAUGGCCUGAACUUGACAACAACCACUCUUCAUGUGGACUGAUGGGAUGUGAGUUAAAAUCAAGUAAAACUGGCUGACGUUUUGUUGGUGUUGACACUCAUCCAUGUCAGAAUGCCCGGCUGAGGGGAGGACGCCGCCCUCGCGCUCACUCCUCUAAGAAGCAGGAAGCUUGCUGAAUGUUUCAGAGGGUUCAGGCCUCUGGCAGGCCAAGAAGACAUGGAGGGAGUCAACCAAGAGCAACCACUGAUCUGCUUUCAGUCACCACCACAGCACCAACUGGAACCACAGGGACUCCGGAAGGACGAAACAGCUUGUUCUGGAUUCUGUCGAGGGGUCAACUCGGAACCCUCUUGUCUGUGACUGAAGUUCCUACAG